rnacentral:lncRNA from 1 species
CAUACAUACAUACACACUCUCACUCACACACGUACACACUCACUCUCUCACACGUACUUACACAUCCCUUUCAUUCUCACGCACGCACCUGCUUUCACACACGUAUACACACACGCUCUCACUCACAUACACACAAAUUCUCUCAUAUACACGCACAUUCUUUGCCACAUGGCCAUACGUACUCACCCCCACACGCACAUAUAUACACACAUAGCCACCCAUACCCUUACAUGAGGUGUAUAUUUUGCAGAGAGCUUGCGUAUCUCUCUCUCUCCUUUCUGUUUAUAAAAUAGUCAAUGGAAGUUCUGUGAUAUAUUUACCUCGACAAAGCAAGGCAGACGACACUUCUACCGACAUUCAACUCGGAAUUGUUGCCUCUUACAGAGCAAGGUGACUUUGGUUCAACCUGUGAUGCCUCAUUCGAUCAUGUUUGGUUAUGCCUACAUUUUACAAAGAUUUUGACAGGAAUAUUCCCCUAAUAUUCUUUGAUAAUAUUAAAAUGGCGGACCAGAUGAAGGUAAAGAAAAGAAGUGAAGCUUGAAGAUCGCAAUUUAUGAAGAAUAUUGGCAACAUAAACGCUAAUAACGAGAAUUUAUAAAAAGA